rnacentral:lncRNA from 1 species
CCCGUUUGCCCCCUCCAGCGGCAGGAUGUGAGCCACCGGCAAGGAGGGACGCCAAUAAGGCGUCCGAUAAGUAAGUGCUGUGGGGUUGGCCUGAUGGCUCCGUCAGUAAAGUCAGAUGACCUGAGGAUCUCCAGGAGCCACAUCGUGGAAGAAGAGAACUGACUCCCACAAGUUUUCUGCUGACCUCUGCAGGUGUGCUUGGCAUGCUCAUCACACACACACACACACACACACACACACACACACGGGAGACGAGAGAGAGAGAGAGAAGAGAGAGAGAGAGAGAGAGAGAGAGAGAGAGAGAGAGAAAGAAAGAGUAAAAUGUAAUGUAAAAGUAUGUCAGGGGCUGGAGAGGUGGGUCAUCAGUGUACUGCUCUCGAAGAGGACCUGAGUUCAGUUCACAGUGGCCUUGUUGGGUCGCACACCACCCUCUGUAACUCUAGCUCCAGGAGACCAAUGUCUCUGGCCUCUGCAGGUAUUGAUGAACCAGCUUGGCCAUCUUAUAGUAAAGACAAGCUAGUUUCAUUCCUGUUUAUGAUUAUAUCUCUGUUUCUCAAGGACUGGGCCAGCCCCACCUGUAACCUUAACUCCUGUCUGUACUGCCUAUUCCAGGAAUGGCAAUCAUGCCUUUGUUUCAAAAAGAUGCUUAGGGGACACUCUCAUGUAUACAUGCAGACAAAACACCAAUGCAAGUAAAACAAAAAUAAAGUUAUUAGGAGAUUUCAAAAAGUUGUUUAUAACCAUCUUUCAACUCUGUCUUUGUUUCAAAAGGUUGUUAUGACUAUGUAUUGCUAUGACUGCCUUGUUAGGACCACCUUGCAAUCAUGCCUUUGUCUCAGAAGGUCACUAUGACUGACUUGUUAUGCUUAUGUUCUGCUCCUGUAACCACACAUAGUUCUUCCCAUUUGGAAACCCCCUACCCUGAGCUAUAAAAACAUUGUCUUUCUCAUGUCCAAUAUUGACCUCUGGAAUCCCGCCUUAGGGGGAGGCAGCCUGAGUACACAAAUAAAAAAGUUUGCUGUAAUUAAUUUGGCUGUGAUGAUUUGAGUCGGUGAUCUUUCUCCUCAAAUAUUUGGGAUUAAUCUUACCCAUACUCAUACUCACAUGC